rnacentral:lncRNA from 1 species
CAUGUCCCUUCCAACCCAACCCACUCUGUGAUUUUGUGAUUAACCACAGGGGUUUCUCAGCAGCCCACCGAGGAGGGCCCUGCACAUUUGUGUCCCAUUAGAGGUGCUGAUAAGCCCUUCCCUGCCAGGCCAGCCCUGCUGAUGGUUGUAGGCUCUUCACAGGGAAGUGGUCCUGUGGUGACAUUCCCUGGAGCUCCUGUACCAGUCAAUGCAGUUAGAGGAUAACCAUGCUUGGAACUGCUGAUGAACAGUUCAAGGAUCACCUCUCAGUCACAACACUGAUACAACAAGUACUGGAAUGGUGGCAGGACUCAGACACCCUGUCCAACCC